rnacentral:piRNA from 1 species
UGGUGUCCAGACUGGAUUUGAACUUGA